rnacentral:lncRNA from 1 species
CAUCUUUCUAAAACCCAAAUCACGUAGUGUUUUGUUUUUUCUUGAAACUCCCCAAUAGGUACCAUCAAUUUCAGGUUAGAACCCAAACUACCAGUGUGUUAUACCAGGCUUUUCAUGCCAGCCCCCUUUCCACCUCUUAAAAACUAUCUCUUGCCCUUUCUACACACUGAAAACUCGAUUCCUGUUUAGCUUUCCUAUUCUCAGAAUGGCCACCCUCUAAACUCCUCAGUGCUCAGUUUGAUUGUCUCCUCCACCCUUUCACCCCCAGCUCAGGAAUCAUCUCUUCUAGAAAAUUAUUCUUUUCCCCAGGCUAGGCAAAGUGACUGUCCUACAUUGUCCCACAAUUCUUUCUACAUAUUUUCCUUAGAAGGGCAAACUAUGGUAUUUAUUUCUAUAUUCUCAAGCUAUAUAACCAUCCCAUUAUACAACAGGUGAAAUUAAUGUUUGUUGAAUGAACAAUUAAAUGUGUGCUAUACAAUCUACUGGGUUCCUGAAUAACGAAGAAAAAUACAGUGAGGUGACUGACUUCAGAGCUAACAGUUCCUUAUAUCCAGCUAUGGAUUUCUCUAAUAGAUUCUAGAAUGAUUUAGGUUCCUUGAAUAAAGAUGUUUUUGAGUGAUGACUUGAACAGCCCUGAAGGUUCAUGUGUACUUAAAGCCGAAGGAGCUUGUUUAUUUCUGAGUUGGAUUUGAACUCCAUUUAAUACCACAUUACCAAAUUCAAACAGCCCAUCCCACCUUUCAAUUAAGUGAAAGGAGCAAUGACUUACAGGAACUGUCAAUGUAUUAAAAAUGUCACAAUUGCUUUAUUUAUAGAGCAACAUAAAAAUAUAAUUCAGGUAACUUGAAAAAAAAAUUGACACAGACUAAGCAGAGAAGAUGAGUCAGAGGGGAUUACUUAGUGAUCUAAAACUUGGCUCUGCAGUAUCACGAACCUCAGCUUCAAAUCCAGCCUGGGUCAAGACAACCUGUCAUUUUCCGGAGACUGAGCACUGCCUAUCUCAUCGUUCACUGUGUGUGUUUUUCCUAUUGCUCCAGGACUCCAUGUACUUAAAAAAACCUCAUGGAACUUUCUCAUAAAUGAUAAUUCUCUCCUUAAUAAGCUUAGCCAAAUUCAGAGAACUCCUUGAUAUAUAACUGGCACCUCUGGAUAAUGCCCUCGGGUUGUUAACCAUUCUACAAAAAUCAAAUUCAAUCAACACUUCAGACCUUAAAUUUGCCAGGAAGCUAUCUCAUGCCACUUCCCCACUCACCCUCAACCCAUAAUAAAGUAUUUAAUUACCAUUAACUGAUUUUGCAUGAAUGACAAUCUGCUUCUUAAAACCAGUGAGAAGCAAGCCUUUGACUUCUCAAGCGUAGGAGGGAAGGGACCUGAUUAAGAGUCUCAUAUCUUAAUGAUUCUAACUUCUUUUUGGCACCAUUCACAAAUAACAAUAAAAACAGAAUAGAAUGAGAAGAAGACAUCUUCAUAACUUGGAAAUUGUAUGAUUGAUAAGGUAUUAUCUUGUCAGUUGAAGACACAGGCAUGACAAGUAUUUAUGACAGAAGGAGGUUCCUAGUUAUAAAGAAAUUGAGUUUAGUCUGAUAAAGGACUUUCAAGAUUCUAAACACCAUCCCCUUCAGGGAAAGAGGAUUAGUGCUGAUAUUUCAGAACAGAGUCUUAUUACAUUCUGAAUCCAGUUACGAAAAGAAAAGGCAUUUGGCUCUUAGUAAACCAACACAUGCACGCGUGCACACACUCAUGUAGAGACUGUAGAGUGAAGAAUUAGGGAUGUCAGCUGAGUAGGGACAGGGAGGGAUAUCAGGUCCAAAGGGAAAGAAGCAGAAAACCUUCAUUGUCUGACUGACAGUUGUCUAUCAGACAAGAAGAUGAAGCAGGUAACAACAGCAUCAAAGAAGCUGUCAAUCAUGCACAAACAAAACUGUAUUUAAAGUUAUGACAAACAAUAUGUGACUUUAGAGGAGGUAUGGAGCCUCUUAAAAGUAGACAUAUAUAUCAGUGGGCAAACUGAAUCUCAGGCCAUGAGGAUGCUUAGAAUUAAUCUGACAGAAUUGUCCUGAGGGUUUCCAAAGGAAUAACAAAGCAUGGAACUCUGGAAACUCACAACCAUCUCAAGCCAAAGAUGUUCACCAUUCUUCCCUCUUGUGUUCCAAUUGAUUUGUGAAGAGUAGAGAUCUCAGUGUCCCUCGCCAUGUAAGAAGACUGAAGUGAACUUGCAGAAAUAGAACUUUUCAUCCACCUAGGCCCUGUUUAAGUGGGUGGCAGCUGAGGCAAAUCACCUUCAUGGAGCACAAUAACACAUGACAUCAAGCUAAGGCCCAUCUUCAGUAAAAAGUCUUUUAGAAAAAGCACAAGGGCAGUGUGGAGUCCAGGAGCAUAUAGUGGAAGGCCUUGACUUGAAGAUGGAUCAUGAAAGAUUGGAUAUGAGGGUGCCUACAGGCAUUUAUACAUGCUCAUUGUGGCUACGUGGAUCAGCCUGACUUAUGAGUUCUAGGUGGUCCUUGUGGGUGUCUGUGUUUCUAAUUUCUUCAGUACCAGCCAUCUCCUCCCUGCAAGGUGACUUUCUAUCUUCCUUCAAAACAAUGAGCCAUAAAGUUCCUGUCGUGGCUCAGUGGUUAACGAAUCUGACUAGCAUCCAUGAGGAUGCAGGUUUGACCCCUGGCCUCGAUCAGUGGGUUAAGGAUCUGGCGUUGCUGUGAGCUGUGGUGGAGCCCAGCAGCUACAGCUCUGAUUCAACCCCUAGCCUGGGAACCUCCAUAUGCCACAGGUGCAGCCCUAAAAAAAAAAAAAAAAAAAAAAAAAAAGAGCCUGAAAGUAUCUGUGAUAGCCCAGAAACGAAACAGUUUGAUCAUGGCUAUGGUAGUUAGAAUAAUGAUCCCCCAAAGAUGUCCACAUCCUUUUCCCUGGAAACUGUGAAUAUGUUGCUUUACAUGACCACAGGGAUUUUGUAGGCGUGAUUAAUUAAGGACCUUGAGAAUGGGGAGACUAUUGUGAAUUACAUGGGUGGGCUCAAUAUAAUCAUGAGGUAUGUAAAGGAUGGAAGAGAGUGGUAGAAGUGUCAAAGAUGAGAGAUGACAACAGAAGUGGAGGUCAGAGUGAUGUGGAGCUACAGGCCAGUGAAAGCAGGCAGCCUCUAGAUGCUGAGAAGGGCAAGAAAUCAGAUUCCCCAUUAGAGCCUCCAGAAGGGGUGCAGCCCCAUUGACUCAUUUUAGACUUCUGACUUCCAGAAAUUUCAAGUGAUGCAUUCAUGCUCUUUUAAGGUACAAAGUUUGUGCACAUUUAUAAUAGCAGCAAUAGAAAACUAAUACAUUGGGUGAGCCUCUUCUCAGAUAGCCUUCCACAGGAGUAUCACACUUUGACCAUUUUCUUAACACAUGUUUGUCAUUUGUGCUCUCAUUUGCCCUGUGAUGAGCAUGUGCUAUAUUCAACUGAUUAUUCCAGAAGCAAAGAGACAAAUAUCUGGGUCCUGUCCUUAGGAACUUACAAUUAAAUGGGGUUAGAUAUAGUAGGAAUAAGGGUAGAAAUGUGUCCAAUCUACAUGGGACCCAAGAGUGAGGAAGGUCAGUUCUUCGUGGGAAAAUGAAUGGAAGAGACUUUCUCAAAUGAAAACUUGAAACGUGCUUUGUUAGUUGUCAAACAGAGGAAAGAUGAGAAGAAAGAUCACUCCAAGCAGGGGAGUUGGAUGAGUAAAACUCCAGAUGCCAAGACAGCUGGAUGUGUUCUGGUGGGGAUGUAGGGUAUAAGUAUCUAUGCUGAUAGAGAUAAAACUGAAAGUCUAAGUUUAGAAUAUAGGGUCUGAACUCUAUCUUAUGAGUGAUGAAGAAUACUAAUAAGUAUUAGUAUUUUAGAUCAGUUUUAGAUCUAUGUUUUAAGAAACUGCUUAGGUAGAAAGCCAGAGUCAGAGAGACAAGUAAAAAGUUAAAAGGACAUUGCAAUAGUCCAAGCCAAAGUAAUGCAAGACAAUCUAACUUAGUAACUUAAGUGAUGGAGAGAAAGAUAUUGAAUCGAGAUAUAUUAUGGAGAUAGAAUCAACUGGAUGAUGAUAUAUUGGGUAUAGUGGCAAAAGAAAGGGAGGAAUUUAGGAUAAAAUCUGAGUUUGAGACUGGAGGCAGCUAGUGUCCUACCUUUAAAUGAAGACCUGCAGGAGAACUAGGUUGGUGAAAACAGAUGAUGACUUAAUCUUUAAAUGAAAGUCUCCAUCUCAUGUAUUUUUUGAGGUUUUAUUUCAUGAAACAAUAAAUAUCUUGUGUAGAGAGGAGGGACCAUGUUUUCUAUCUUUAGCAUUUCCCUUGCCUACUAUAAUGUUGGGCGCAUGACAAACUCUGGUUCAACUGAAAAGAAUAUUGUGCUCAGCAACAAAGAUAUGUGUUUUGAUUCCAAUUCAGAUGUGGAGCUGGGGGUUUAAAAUUACCCUGAAGGUCAAUCAACAUACUUCCAGGAAAAGGCAUAUCUCUUAGAAAUGGAUUAAAGAACUAUCGAUGUUAGAAUUUUUCUUCUGGCAUGAUGCAUUAUCUUCAAUAUUAAGAAAAAGAAACAAUUCACCCUCAUACUCUGUUUCUUUAAUUUUAGGCAUAACUACUGAACAGGUUAGAAUUUCAAUAUCUUUAUUGAGAAUCCAAGAAAUAGAACAGGUAUUUGAGUACCUACUGUGUUCAUAGCAUACCCCUGAUAUAGAGAAAGAGUUAUUUUUUACUCUAUUAAAAACUGAUUUAAAUUUCUGCAAGGCUGAUCAAACCCUCUGCUGUACAAUUAAUGACUAAAAGUUAAAAAUACUGAAUUAGGGACACCACAGUCACAGUGGUAGACAUGACAGAGUGAAAGAAAUUUUAAUUUCCCCCAGCACUGAAUCUAUUCAAGAAAAAUGGAUUUUUCUUUUGAUGUGAAUCAGAUGCUAUCCCAAUUCACCAGUUAAUAUACUUUAUUUUGGCUCUGUAGUCAACUAUGGAGGAAGAGACAUCCGGAGUUUUUCCCAUUCUAAUAUCAAACAGAGUAAGACCUUCAACAAACAAGCUUCUGUAACAGAAUACUGAGAAUAACAUUCCAGAAAGACCCCCCACACCCCAGCAAUACCCUCAGGAACUAAAGCAGUCUUGAACCUUAAUUAUAAGGUAAUGUGUAGAACAAACCUGGUAUCAUGGCACUUGGGGAGAACAGCUGGUGGGAACUUUCUAGAUGCUUUCACUGUGUUUUCUUGGCAUAAAGCAAUAACAAAUAAUAGGUUAGGUUGCAGGAGUUCAGUAUUAACCCAUGGUGACCGGCAAAGAAAAUGGUGGUAUUUUCCAGCAAAGAAUCUAUCAGCAAAUAUCAUUUCAAAAGUUUAAUCUUAGGACUAGAGUCAGUAAUUGCUUCACUAUUCCUUGAGCAUGAAGGACUCAGAGAGUAAAUGAUUUAUUGUUCUGACAACAUAGAACAAAUUUUAAUAUUUUGAAAAAAACCUGAGACCUAUUAAUCCUGGUGUGUGUUACUCUUAAACCCAAGGAAAUGAAGAAACAUUGAUCUAAUUUCUGCCUUUCAAGAAUGAAAUUAUACAUUAACCACAGAGCACCCAGCAGCAUACACAACCAGCACUCCCAAAGAUAGCCUGACAUCAGAACUGUGUUUUGUUAGCUAAAUACUGAUCCCCCCCGUGGCAUUACACAAUUUAUUGCAAAUAGGCUGUGUGAUCCAGCAGCUAGGAAGUCAGAUUAGAGUUCUCAGGAAGGACGUGCUGAAAUAAAGGGCACAGGUAGGGGCAAAGGAGCCAGACACAAAAAAGGUGCCUAAGAGUUACCAGGUAUUCUUGUCAAAUCAGAUUCUGAUUCAAUAGAUCUGAGGUGGGGCUAAGGGUUCUGCAUUUCUUCUUUUCUUUUUUUCCUUUUUCUUUUCUUUUUGUUUUUUUGUUUGUUUGUUUGUUUUGUCUUUUUAGGGCCACACCCGCAGCUUAUGGAGGUUCCCAGUCUAGGGGUUGAAUUGGAGCUGUAGCUGCUGGCCUGCACCACAGCCACAGCAAUGCAAGAUCUGAGCCACAUCUAAGACCUACACCACAGCUCACAGCAAUGCCGGAUCCUUAACCCACUGAGUGAGGGAUACCAGUCAGAUUCAUUUCCACUGAGCCACAACAGGUACUCCUGGGUUAUGCAUUCCUAACAAGCUCAUGGAAGGCAUUGCUUAUCCUAGCAACCUACUCCAAGGACAAAGGGUAGCACUUUUCUGUGUUUAAGAAAGCUCAAAUCACCAAAAUAAUCCCUGCACUGUACAUGUGCCCCAAUCUUUCCUUCCUAUUCUCUUUUAUGGGAUAUAGUUUUGUUUUUCUUGAUGAUCAUUUUGUGUGUUUUGUUUGCAUGUUUUAUGUUUGCUGUAUUACAUACUGACCUGGUUUUGAGACAAACAAUAAACUCACUGUCCUGAAAGCAUUCCUUCUUUUACCACUGCUUCCCAGUUAGACUGUGAGGCAAGCUUUGCAUCUUCGUGCCACUGACUCUUUUAAAAGACACAUGGGUGAUAACCCUGAAUGGGACUUCCUACCUGCCCUCAAAAAAGAGGAAAAGAAGAAUAAAUGACACAAUUCUGCAAAACUCA